UUGUUUCCCUCUUCUCCAAAAAAAUUUAACCUAAUCCCCCCACCCUACACACCUUGAUCUACAUACUUCUCUUUCUCUUUUUUCUUCCUCUCUAACCUUAACGCAAACCUAUUGCCCUUCUUCUUCUCUCUAUGUUAUCACUGUCAUAUGCGACUGCUGACGCUAAGCCAUCAAGUCCAUAUUCGUCAUCGCUCCUUCUCCUCCACCGUCGUUCCUUCUCCGACAUCCUCAACUCCUCUGAAAUCCCUUCGACAUCAGACCCUAUUGAUUAUAGAACAUACAUCGAUUUUACCCUUGAUGAAGUUAUUUUAGGGCUAUCUAUUAUAUUUUAGUCUGAAAACUCUAAAUUUCUCUAUUUUAAUGUUAAUCCAUUUACCUAACUGCCCAUAUUUUUUAUUUUAGAGUUCAAACGGUGGUUUUCAAGGGUAAGAAAUCAUGAUUCCUAGGUUUUUAUGGUUUCCUUAUAUGUGCGUGGUUAUGCCUACAAUUUCGUAAGAAGGCGAGACCUUCAAGGUCUCUUUAUUCUUUGUUGAGUACGAAUUGGCAGAGAAAGGGGAAAACAAACAUGAGCAAAACAAUCAUAUAAGGGUGUGUGAUUUCUCAAAUUAGUAAUCCAAAAUUCCUAUUUUCCUUCAAUUUGACAGAUUCUUGAGGUAAUAACCAAACCCUAGUAAGGUCUGCAACUGCUCCAAAAGGCUGUGUGUUACGAGCAACUCCCAUUAAAAGGAAAUUGAUGCAGUAAUGGGUGAUUCAACAAUCUUGGUCAACAGAUAUGAGUAUGUUGACUUUAUAUCGACUUACACCGACUUGGGUGUAAAAACACUAGAAAGAAUCAAGAAAAAUGACAAGUAAUUCUUUUUGAAGCCGAUGGCAAUUAAUCUUUGGACUAUGGCUAAUUGCUAUUUCUUUUCUUAGCUACAAUGCCUUUUUUGUUUGGGCUAUUGAACGUAUGCAUCCAGAUUCCGAUCAACAAAUUAGAAUUGUAUUUUGAAGCAUUCUAUUGACCAUCUUCUUUUCUCAAACUUCUUCCUCUAUAUCUAGAAUAUGGGUUUACUCUUUUAAAUAUAAUUUAAUUAAGAUUUUGCAGUGA